GCCGUGAAGUGCCGAGAAAGAAAAAAACCCGACCAGCCGCUAAGAAGACCCCAAAACCGACAGGGCCGGCCAACGAUGUUGAAGAUUGUGUAAUUUGUGUGGAGGCGAUGAAAAAUCCUUUCAAACUGACCUGCGGGCACUCCUUUUGUACGGAAUGUCUCCGAUGGGCGGUCAGGUUGAGAGCUGAAAAUUAAUUUGCAACCAUUUCGGUGAGAGCUGAAAAUGUAACUCGAAGCGUCUGUCCAUUGUGCCGUGCUAUAUUUCGCACCGGUCCUCUGCUCCUCUCCGCUAAAAGGCAAACAAAACCAAAACACGACACCAAAUACAUACACAAUACGCACUCUUAAGCGUCAAAACAGAUAUUCACCACACCCCGCCUCAUUUUGACGUUGAGCAACACUUUUAUAUACACACUUUUUAUAUUCAACACUUCGUAGCUUCGAGAAAAUUCUCAGAACUGGCAAGUAAAUCGUUCGUUUUGCCGUGAUCUACUAAAAAAUAUGGCGACUAAUAAGAAGGACAAGCCAGCUGAAGCUGAGGAAGAAACUAAGACGGGCAGCGCUGAAGACUUUUGCUCGAUUUGCUAUGGUCCGAAAGUGGAUCCCUUUGCAUUGCCCUGCAAGCACACGUUCUGUAACACUUGCAUAGAAUUUCUGGUUGAACAGAGGUCUUACUAUUUGGGUGAAAUUAUUCCUGAUCCAGUCAUGCGUUGUCCAGUGUGCCGCGAAAGGUUUCGCUCAAAAAAAGCUGUUGCCACUUCCCCCCAGCCAUAGUUCUGAACACAUAUACUCACAAAAGCCAAAUAAAUUUUGAUUAAUAAUUAUAA